UAUUAAUUUUAGUUCACUAAAACACAACCCAGCUGUAACUUGACCCAUUUUGAGUAGCUAUACUUAAAACCGGUGUUAUGCUUUCAGUACUAAAGACUGAUAACUUGAUAGCUCCCCAGGGUUUGUUGGUUACAGUUUAAGUACAGAGUUGACAUUACAUGCUAUUUUUCUGAAAAUCCCAGCAGUAAUAUUACAACAGAGAUACUGGUAAUUGAAGAUACAGUCAAAGAUUGUUAGAGUGUGGAUAUCUUCAAACAUACAGUAUCAUUCACUAACCUGCAAUUUCAUUCAUUUUCAGGUCCCUUCAAUCUUAUGAAAGUGGAACUGUAAAACCAAAGGAAAACAGUUCAGAAGUAUUUUCUGGGCCAAGACAAAACCAGCCUGGAUUCUCUCACCCUUACUCACAGUGAACAGUAGGCUACUCUUCAUAGAACAUCAGUGGAUGCAAGUAAUGAUGCUGUCUGAUCCCAACAAACUCUUAUUCCAAAUGCAGAAGAAAAAAAU
rnacentral:lncRNA from 1 species